rnacentral:rRNA from 1 species
UACGGAGGAUCCGAGCGUUAUCCGGAUUUAUUGGGUUUAAAGGGAGCGUAGGCGGGUUGUUAAGUCAGUUGUGGAAGUUUGCGGCUCAACCGUAAAAUUGCAGUUGAUACUGGCGACCUUGAGUGCAACAGAGGUAGGCGGAAUUCGUGGUGUAGCGGUGAAAUGCUUAGAUAUCACGAAGAACUCCGAUUGCGAAGGCAGCUUACUGGAUUGUAACUGACGCUGAUGCUCGAAAGUGUGGGUAUCAAACAGG